rfam:Ipomoea nil DNA, scaffold: scaffold2191, cultivar: Tokyo-kokei standard.
GCUCUUGUAGCUCAGUUGGUUAGAGCACCCGUUUAGUAAGCGGGUGGUCUUGAGUUCAGCUCUCAACAAGAGCA